CAGCUGGGAAAAGAGGCUGGAAAGUCUUGAUUAUCCUCAUCUGGGAAUAAACCCCACCCAGAGGGAAGCAGGAUGGAAAACACCAGCUGUGGCAGAUGUGGCUGAAGUGAGAGAGAGACAGAUUAGAUACCUGGAUGGAGGAUGUGAAUAUCAAAAUGGAAGGGGCAACAGAGAUGGUCUUUAGCACAAGAUGAAAUGAAUCUCACCUCAUAUUGAAUGUUUACAAUUUAUGCCUCCAGCUCCCUUCAUAUUCCCUUUAUACCUAAUGGAGAGAC